UUAGGAUCAAGAGCACUAAGAGGGGGGGGGGGGUGAAUUAGUGCAGCGGAAAACUUUCGACGAUUAAAAAAGUGUUCGUACGAUAAAAACAAUUUCGGUAGAAGAGCCGAUUCGUAAAUCUCUUUAACUUGUAAUUAAGCGAGAUGUAGUUAAAGGAAAUCUAUGAAGGCAGUUUGCAGUUAUGAUGAAAGUUAAAAUAUAAGCGCAAACUGAAAUAUGAUGUUCGUACGAUAAACUGAUUUACG
rnacentral:lncRNA from 1 species